GGGUCUGUAGCUCAGCGGUUAGAGCACACGCUUGAUAAGCGUGGGGUCGUUGGUUCAAAUCCAACCUGACCCACCA
rnacentral:tRNA from 1 species